rnacentral:rRNA from 1 species
UAGGGAAUCUUCGGCAAUGGACGAAAGUCUGACCGAGCAACGCCGCGUGAGUGAAGAAGGUUUUCGGAUCGUAAAACUCUGUUGUUAGAGAAGAACAAGGACGUUAGUAACUGAACGUCCCCUGACGGUAUCUAACCAGAAAGCCACGGCUAACUACGUGCCAGCAGCCGCGGUAAUACGUAGGUGGCAAGCGUUGUCCGGAUUUAUUGGGCGUAAAGCGAGCGCAGGCGGUUUCUUAAGUCUGAUGUGAAAGCCCCCGGCUCAACCGGGGAGGGUCAUUGGAAACUGGGAGACUUGAGUGCAGAAGAGGAGAGUGGAAGUCCAUGUGUAGCGGAGAAAUGCGUAGAUAUAUGGAGGAACACCAGUGGCGAAGGCGGCUCUCUGGUCUGUAACUGACGCUGAGGCUCGAAAGCGUGGGGAGCAAACAGG